rnacentral:rRNA from 1 species
UACGUAGGGAGCAAGCGUUGUUCGGAUUUACUGGGCGUAAAGGGCGCGUAGGCGGCGUGUCAAGUCGAUUGUGAAAUCUCCGGGCUUAACUCGGAACGGCCAAUCGAUACUGACGUGCUAGAGUGCAGAAAGGGCAAUCGGAAUUCUUGGUGUAGCGGUGAAAUGCGUAGAUAUCAAGAGGAACACCUGAGGCGAAGGCGGCUCACUGGACCGGCAUUGACGCUGAGGUGCGAAAGCGUGGGGAGCAAACAGG